AUGGUUGCAUAAGUAUUCUGCAGGGCAAGAGGUUGAAGAACAGUCCCAAGUCAAAAUGGACAAAGAGAUUACCUUAAAGCUUGGAAAACUGGCCUUUGAGCACCUGAUGAAAGGCAACAUGAUCUUCUAUGAGAGUGAACUGAAUGAGUACAAUAUCAACAUCAAUGAUGCUACAGUAUAUUCAGGGAUGUUUACUCAAAUCUCAGAGAACGAUUUCAGAAAAGGGAAACACAAGAAACUACCACUGCACGAGAGGCUCCAAGUGAAAUAACCAACCUUCUGAAGAGUGCAGUGGAUAAAUCCUUACAGAGUGAGAACGGACACCUUGAUCUUUUUCUUCGUUUCCUUCGUGGGCUGUCACAGACAUCUAACCAAACUUUGCUGAAGAGCAUUCUGACCACAGUGGAGAUCAGCUCACCCAGGAAUGAGGAAAUUAUUGAAUACAUCAAAGAUAGGAUUAGAGAAAAUCUCUCUUCAGAAAGAUGCCUCAGUCUCUUCCACUGCCUCAGUGAGCUGAAUAAUCAGUCUCUUUUAGAGGAAAUCAAAACUACCUGAGCUCUGGUAGUUUGUCAGAAACCUAAUUGUCUUCUUCGCAGUGGUCUGCUCUGGUCUUUGUGUUGCUGACCUCAGAGGAACUACUAGAAUCCCUUAUGUCAUUUAGAGGUGUAGUUGCAUGUUGAUCCCACAGGGGGGCGCAUAUGUUUUCUGUACAUCGAACAUGGUUGGGAGCCUUAAUUGCUUUCUGCUUGAGGUCUCUUCUUGUGAAGGCCGAAACUUACAGAACAAACUUUGAUUGUUUUUUUAGUUGAGAGCCCAGCCCGGUGAGACUGGACAGCCGUGGAGGCGGUGUGGCCUGCCGUCCGGACCUGCCUGCAGAGGACAUCAGACUGCUUGAUUCAUUCCUUCUGAAUUUCAGAUAAGCACACCUACACCUGUUAGCUGUCUCCAGGCUCAAAGGAUGCCACCUCACAGAGAAAUGUUGGGAAGCAUUGGAUCACUUCUAAGUAGUUCCUGUCUGAAAGAGCUGGACCUGAAUGAUAAUCAUCUGCAAGACUUGGGUGUAGAACUGCUGUCUGCUGGACUGGCAAGUUCAAAAUGUCAGCUGGAAAAACUGAGGUUUGUGAAGAAGUACUGGAGCAUCUGUGACAAUUAAAGGACACAUUUGGGAAGAAAAGGAACAAAUGGACAGCCCAAAUCUAUUUUGGGUGAGUAAGAUUUUGUUUUACAUUCUAUGAAUUCCAAUUGUUUCUCUCUUUCAGGCUGUCAUUCUGUGAGAUCACAGAGACUGGAUGUGGCUUUUUGGCUAGAGCUCUGAGGUCUAACCCCACCCAUCUGAAGGAACUGGACCUGAGUUACAACCAUCCAGGGCAACUGGGGAUGGAGUUGCUGUCCAAUGUACAGAGGAACAUUGAACACCUCACUGUCAGAUGCAUGUGAGCUCACUAUGGAUCAGCCAUAUCCUGAUCGAUAUCCUGGUCGUUGCUGCUGCGGAGUUGAGUGACUGGAGACUGGACAGGUAUAGGAGUGGCUUAUAAAGGAAUCUCCAGGAAAGCAAAAGGAAACGACAGCGUUCUUGGCUACAACGAUCAGUCCUGGAGGCUCUACUACUGUAACGGUAAAUACAACGUGUGGUUCAACAAGAAUGAUGCAACCAUAUCUGUGCCCUACUUCAACUCCAAAAGGGUUGGAGUGUUCUUGAACUGGUCAGCUGGCACUCUGUCCUUCUACGCCACAUAUGUCACACUGUUCCACAGGAGGGCCGGUGUGGCUGCAGGUUUUUGUGCCAACCAACCAAGAGCACACCGUUUGACCAAUCAACUGUCUG